ensembl:Mt_tRNA
GUUCUUGUAGUUGAAAAACAACAGUGGUUUUUCAGCCCACCGGUUUUGGUUAAAGUCCAAAUGAGAAUU